UACAGAGGGGGCAAGCGUUGUUCGGAAUUACUGGGCGUAAAGGGCGCGUAGGCGGCCUGCUAAGUCGAACGUGAAAUCCCUGGGCUCAACCCAGGAACUGCGUCCGAUACUGGUUGGCUUGAAUCCGGGAGAGGGAUGUGGAAUUCCAGGUGUAGCGGUGAAAUGCGUAGAUAUCUGGAGGAACACCGGUGGCGAAGGCGACAUCCUGGACCAGUAUUGACGCUGAGGCGCGAAAGCCAGGGGGAGCAAACGGG
rnacentral:rRNA from 1 species